UAUGUGAAUGAGCUGAGAGCUGUCAGUGCACAAAGCAGCAGAAUCUUGUGUGACUGUGAGGAAAGGGCUGCUUUCCUUCCACACCCUGCUUUCGGACCUCUUGGCUGCAUCUUCAUUGUAACUUGUUCUGCAAAGAUUGAAAUUUAACAAGAAUAGCUGAGAUCUGACUGUGGGUUCUCAGUGCUGAAGUAAUACUCCAGUUCAAUCCAUAUCCGAGUGCCACCAUGGGAAGUCUAUCAGAUUGCACAUUGUAAAAAG